rnacentral:rRNA from 1 species
GACGAACGCUGGCGGCGUGCCUAAUACAUGCAAGUAGAACGCUGAAGAGAGGAGCUUGCUCUUCUUGGAUGAGUUGCGAACGGGUGAGUAGCGCGUAGGUAACCUGCCUUGUAGCGGGGGAUAACUAUUGGAAACGAUAGCUAAUACCGCAUAACAAUGGAUGACACAUGUCAUUUAUUUGAAAGGGGCAAUUGCUCCACUACAAGAUGGACCUGCGUUGUAUUAGCUAGUAGGUGAGGUAAUGGCUCACCUAGGCGACGAUACAUAGCCGACCUGAGAGGGUGAUCGGCCACACUGGGACUGAGACACGGCCCAGACUCCUACGGGAGGCAGCAGUAGGGAAUCUUCGGCAAUGGGGGCAACCCUGACCGAGCAACGCCGCGUGAGUGAAGAAGGUUUUCGGAUCGUAAAGCUCUGUUGUAAGUCAAGAACGGGUGUGAGAGUGGAAAGUUCACACUGUGACGGUAGCUUACCAGAAAGGGACGGCUAACUACGUG